rnacentral:misc_RNA from 1 species
UCUCCGUAGGUGAACCUGCGGAGGGAUCAUUACAGAGUUCGAGCCCUCACGGGUAGAUCUCCCACCCUGUGUUAUUAUACCUUUGUUGCUUUGGCGGGCCGCCCUCGGCUACCGGCCCCGGCUGGUACGCGCCCGCCAGAGGACCCCAAACUCUGAAUGUUAGUGUCGUCUGAGUACUAUACAAUAGUUAAAACUUUCAACAACGGAUCUCUUGGUUCU